UCGGCAGUCCUGCCCUGAGGUUUCUAGGAAGGGACAGUUCUGAUUCUAGAACACAACUCUUGGCCCUCUUUCUGUUGCUUGACUCCUGUAGAAAUUGAAAACGAAUUGUUCUCCACGUCAAGACAUCCAGGGAACUGGCAUGCUACCUGGCGCCUAGGGACCCGAGAUCCUUAUCGGAAGGGGAGGGUGGGGCCAGGAAUGUGGAGGGUAGAAGACAGGAUUUCCUGCAGAAAUUCAGCUUGAGUCUCAAAAUCCCACUGGAACUAGUAACACGGCUCUUUCCCUCUUCCUCUUCCCUACCCACCAGCAGCCCACGCAGGAACAGCUCCUCAGGGAUCCAGGUCUGAGGGCUGCAUUUGACUGUUUAUAGAACAGCAAGAAAUAGACUAAUCUUCACCUGCUGACAAAGUGAAUGUGGGUUCAACUGCCUUUAGAGAACCAGGAGAGCCCAGGAGCUGCUGACGCAGAUGGGAUAAGCCCAGAGACUCACUGAAAGUCAGGUUAGACUCAGCCGGCGGAGAUGGGCAGAUGCCACGGUCUAGCGAUUAGAGGAAGAGCCGGAGAAGAGGUGACACUGUUUUUCCUGGACCUUAAAGCAAAGACAGGAUUCACACAUGCAGCAGUGGUGGGAAAAUGCUACAGGUGCAGAAAAUGGGAAGUGGAGUUUGACUGGAGCCUCUGUGAGCCUUGCCCAGACUGGGGAGAGAAACAAUACUUUGUUCAUCUUCGAAUCUCUAUGAACUGGAAGACUAUCUAUGCUUCGUAAUAGGUCCUCAAUAAAAAUAUGAAGUCCCAAGGAGCUCCUAGACCUUAAUGGCAAUCAAGACUGUCCUCAAACGAAGGGAGGGAAAUGCUCCUUUUCUCACAUUGAACAUCCCUCUGGGAACGAGAAUUCUUUGAUUACUGUGGUCCUUCAGGGUGCUGGACAUCAAGUUGAGUGAUGUAGUCGAUCUAAGAUGUGAAAGGUUAGAUUCGUAGGAGCAGAUUGUUUUGUUUCUGUCACCUGAGUAGUUUGCCCCUGAUGGUCACACCUUAGCAUAGUUUUGGUCCGUCACAUGGGAUUUUCUCAGGGUAACCUGAAGUGUUUGGGCCUAUAGUUGAGAACAGCUCAGAUCCAUCUACUUGUGCUUUUUCAUACCUCUAAAACCAUACCGAACACUUUUUUGUUAACAUCAUAAAUAUUGAUUACUCACUAUGACAUAUUAUAUAUGGCUAUAAA